CAACUCAUGGCAUGUUCUGCUUGACACUACAGCAUUGGCUGUGGGAGAAGAUCAGCUGAAUCUUGCACUCUAUAGGCCAGAUUUUGUGCUAUGCAGUCCUGAUAAUACACACGCUCAUUCUUCAACGGUCACCUGCCUCUUGGAAUCACCAUAUCCCAGACAGAGCUGAUUUCGGCUUUGAAGGUUUCUUGAACUAUUUCUGCAUAUCGCAAAUACAUUUGCGGCCCAGGAAGAGUACUUCUAAGAAGGGUUCGACGCUAUUGGUCGUCCCAGUCUCACGACGCUCCAUAAAUGUACUGCAGCAAUCCGUCAGCUUGCUAUUGGACAAACGACGAAUUUGUUCGACGAGUACCUGCAAAUUGGGGACAGCACUGGGAGACUG